GUGCCAGCAGCCGCGGUAAUACCGGCAGCCCGAGUGAUGGCCGAUCUUAUUGGGCCUAAAGCGUUCGUAGCCGGCCGGGCAAGUUCGUCGGGAAAUCUACCAGCUUAACUGGUAGGCGUCCGGCGAAAACUGCUCGGCUUGGGACAGGGAGACUCGAAGAGUACGUCCGGGGUAGGAGUGAAAUCCCAUAAUCCCGCACGGACCACCGAUGGCGAAAGCACUUCGAGAAAACGGAUCCGACAGUGAGGGACGAAAGCUAAGAUCGCGAACCGGAUUAGAAACCCUGGUAGUCC
rnacentral:rRNA from 1 species